CAGUGAGAGAAGCAGGGGCAGUGAGAGGAGCAGGAGCAGUGAGAGGAGCAGGAGCAGUGAGAGAUGCAGGAGCAGUGAGAGGAGCAGGAGCAGUGAGAGGAGCAGGAGCAGUGAGAGAUGCAGUGAGAGGAGCAGUGAGAUAUGCAGUGAGAGGAGCAGGAGCAGUGAGAGGUGCAGGAGCAGUGAGAGGAGCAGGAGCAGUGAGAGGAGCAGGAGCAGUGAGAGGAGCAGGAGCAGUGAGAGGUGCAGGAGCAGUGAGAGGUGCAGGAGCAGUGAGAGGAGCAGGAGCAGUGAGAGGAGCAGGAGCAGUGAGAGGAGCAGGAGCAGUGAGAGGUGCAGGAGCAGUGAGAGGAGCAGGAGCAGUGAGAGGAGCAGGAGCAGUGAGAGGAGCAGGAGCAGUGAGAGAUGCAGUGAGAGGAGCAGGAGCAGUGAGAGGAGCAGUGAGAGGAGCAGGAGCAGUGAGAGGAGCAGUGAGAGGAGCAGGAGCAGUGAGAGGAGCAGGAGCAGUGAGAGGAGCAGGAGCAGUGAGAGGUGCAGGAGCAGUGAGAGGAGCAGGAGCAGUGAGAGGAGCAGGAGCAGUGAGA